AUCCAGCUGACGAGUCCCGAAUGGGACGAAACUUUCAUCAAACUGGAU
rnacentral:hammerhead_ribozyme from 1 species